GUGGGUGGAAGCUCAUCAUAGAGGUCACAUGCAGGGUGCUUGUCACUCAACCAAUCACCUUGGGGAAGGUCUGAGACAAGAGCCAAUCACUGCCCUAGCAGGGUAUCACCUGACCUGGGUGAGUGAGUGCACAUUGUGAGUUGUCUUUACAGGAGAAACCAGCCAGAGCAGCUCUCCAGCACUACUGGUUGAUGUGACCUCCUCACUGGCUUGGAAACACUCAUGGCUGGCAUAUGAGUGCAAUGUGUGAGUUGGAGUACACCUCCAGAACCCAAUUCAGACUACUCUCUGCCCAC
rnacentral:RNase_P_RNA from 1 species